AGUGAACGCUGGCGGUAGGCCUAACACAUGCAAGUCGAACGGCAGCACAGUAAGAGCUUGCUCUUACGGGUGGCGAGUGGCGGACGGGUGAGGAAUACAUCGGAAUCUACUUUUUCGUGGGGGAUAACGUAGGGAAACUUACGCUAAUACCGCAUACGACCUACGGGUGAAAGCAGGGGAUCUUCGGACCUUGCGCGAUUGAAUGAGCCGAUGUCGGAUUAGCUAGUUGGCGGGGUAAAGGCCCACCAAGGCGACGAUCCGUAGCUGGUCUGAGAGGAUGAUCAGCCACACUGGAACUGAGACACGGUCCAGACUCCUACGGGAGGCAGCAGUGGGGAAUAUUGGACAAUGGGCGCAAGCCUGAUCCAGCCAUACCGCGUGGGUGAAGAAGGCCUUCGGGUUGUAAAGCCCUUUUGUUGGGAAAGAAAAGCAGCAGGUUAAUACCCAGCUGUUCUGACGGUACCAAAAGAAUAAGCACCGGCUAACUUCGUG
rnacentral:rRNA from 1 species